rnacentral:misc_RNA from 1 species
AAAGUCGUAACAAGGUAACCGUAGGUGAACCUGCGGUUGGAUCAUUAAUAAAUCCAAGAGUCUUGGGUAGUUUACUAUGCCAAGAUUCUAACUGGCCUUUGGGCCUUACACCUCUUGUGAACUGUUUAUUGACUCUGGUCAGAUGCUUCAGCGCUGGCCAGUAUUUUUAACCUAGUAUUUUUUGUCUUAUUAAAGAUUUAAUCUUAACAACUUUUGACAACGGAUCUCUAGGCUCUC